rnacentral:rRNA from 1 species
UACGAAGGGGGCUAGCGUUGUUCGGAAUUACUGGGCGUAAAGGGCGCGUAGGCGGUUUGACGAGUCAGGGUGUGAAAUUCCCGGGCUUAACCUGGGGGCUGCACUUGAUACUGUCAGGCUUGAAUUCGGGAGAGGAUAGCGGAAUUCCCAGUGUAGAGGUGAAAUUCGUAGAUAUUGGGAAGAACACCGGUGGCGAAGGCGGCUAUCUGGACCGACAUUGACGCUGAGGCGCGAAAGCGUGGGGAGCAAACAGG